GAAAUCUGCACUGAUAAAUCAAAGGCAAAAAAGAUGCCAGAUUGUGCCAGGGAGCUCGUGUUGUAGGUCAUCCAUCUGAUCCAGUGCCGUUCUGCACUGGGGACUGCCAUCCGACAGUAGGGCCAUGACCCUGGAGAGUGUAACCAUCAUCAUGGUUAUAUUAGUGUUACUGGCAUUUUAAAAGACAUCCUGGAACAUUCCUUUGGAGCUUCAUAGCAGUCUAAUGAGCAGAACAGGGUAGGUGACGAAACUGAGAUGUGGAGACUGUGGAGUAAAUUGUCCAAGGAAGUACUUGGCUCAUAUUCUCAAUAAAUUCACGUUCAUACAACGAACCCAUUCAUGAUGCCCCAGAGCAGCCUGAAAAGUACUUCUGAAAGUUUGUUUCUGGAAUCCCAUGCCCAGAAAUGUCUAGGACUGAGAUCCUGGGAGUUUGCAUCUUUCACCUGACUGAGAUGGGAAAGAAAUUUCCACUAGUUUUCUGUGAUUGGUUCUUGUGGAUUCAAGGCUGCUUCUUCCUACUGGAAAAGAAUGUGUAAGUUCUUGCUCUGUGUAUCUAUUAUCCUAGUCACCUCACUGCCUGUGUCCAGGUACAGGUAGAACAAUGGAAGCAGCUCUUGCCUGGAGGAAGACUAGGAGCUCAGGAAAUAAAGAUUUUUGCUGUACUAAAGAACUCAGGGCUUUCAAACAAAUUAACUGUCAAAGCCACAUAAGUCUCUGCAUUGUCUGUAGUGUCAUAAAAUGCACUCAAGGUACAGAGCUGCCUCAAUUCUUUCAAGAGAAAGAGGAGUCCAAUCUGGACAGAAAGGCACUGGUGGACGUUACAGGAAGUGUCUCCAGAUGCCAGAGCACUCUGACAACACAAGACAGCAACAGAUCAACCGUGGCCAGGACCACUGUGCCAAGAAGUCAGCGACAUUCCCUGUUAAGACUCUUACUUUGAUUAGGAGCUACUCCUAGAAAGAAAAUUCUGACACUGAUUUUGAUGGCUGAAGGAUGAUGUAUUAUCUGUGCCCUUAACGGUCCCAAAUUAAGCAAGAUGGGAGACUUCUAAGUUUGAAGAAUCAUCCCAAGGCCACAGUUUUAAUAAAUAAAUCUAAUUCUAAAAUCAA
ensembl:lncRNA